rnacentral:rRNA from 1 species
GACGAACGCUGGCGGCGUGCUUAACACAUGCAAGUCGAACGGAAAGGCCCUGCUUGCAGGGUGCUCGAGUGGCGAACGGGUGAGUAACACGUGGGUGAUCUGCCCCUUAUUUUGGGAUAAGCCUGGGAAACUGGGUCUAAUACUGGAUAGGACCAUGCUGUAGGUGGUGUGGUGGAAAGAUUAGUUUCGGUAAGGGAUGAGCUCGCGGCCUAUCAGCUUGUUGGUGGGGUAAUGGCCUACCAAGGCGUCGACGGGUAGCCGGCCUGAGAGGGUGGACGGCCACAUUGGGACUGAGAUACGGCCCAGACUCCUACGGGAGGCAGCAGUGGGGAAUAUUGCACAAUGGGCGCAAGCCUGAUGCAGCGACGCCGCGUGGGGGAUGACGGCCUUCGGGUUGUAAUCUCCUUUCAGCCAUGACGAAGCCCUUGUGGUGACGGUAGUGGUAGAAGAAGCACCGGCUAACUACGUG